rnacentral:rRNA from 1 species
GGCUGCAACUCGCCUGCAUGAAGCCGGAAUCGCUAGUAAUCGCGGAUCAGCAUGCCGCGGUGAAUACGUUCCCGGGUCUUGUACACACCGCCCGUCACACCAUGGAAGCUGGUUAUACCCGAAGUCGUUACUCUAACCGUUUGGAGGAGGAUGCCUAAGGUAGAAUUAGUGACUAGGGUGAAGUCGGAACAAGGUAACCGUACUGAAGGUGCGGUUGGAUCACCUCCUU